AGCGGCUCAGGGCGGACGGGACGACUUCAGUCCGUCACUGAAACAAGGUGGCUGCUUCAGAUGGGGAAGUUAGGAGCUCGUGUUUCGGGUGUUGGGGAGUCUGUGCGGACCUUGUGAGGAGAAGCUAAUGCUUCUGAUCUGCAGCUCAGCCCCCCCGUCUGCUUAACCAUGCCACUGGUCUUGGAUGCCGUGUGGGCGCUGUGGAGCAUUGGAGCUGGUAUCUAUGACUACUUCCAUACCAGCGCCAUGGAGGAGAGGAUCCACACGCUGGAGAACCUCCUCUCUAUCCACCAGUGUGUGAUCACAGCCCUGUCUGCAGGCUUCAUCCUGCUCAUGAUGUACAUACUGUGGAGAAAACACUAAAACCUCACCGUCCUGGGCAACUGAUGCCACUAACUGUUGUCUUGCUGCAGGACAUCCUUUUUACCUGGGCUAAUUUCCUUCCAGGUGUUGGCACAGGGACAUUCUGAUUCAUACAGCUGUUGACACUUGAGGAUGACGUGUGUUCAAUGAAGGUGUCCAAGGUGAGGUCAGGAGCACUAAAGAGCAACUAAACCGAGGACUAUGGCUCCAUCAGGACAUCUUGUCCCUGCAAACUUGUCGUUAGUUGAGCUGCGUCUGUCUGUCUGUGUUUUUUUAAUGUUACAGUUGCCUGAGUCAUCUACAGACCAGUGUCCACAUUAACCCAAAAUCACAGCUGCUUCUCAAGGCAACUUAGCACUUUGACCUUUUUUUGCCAAGCUUGAAAGAAUUCAAUGUCCAGAGAUUUUACAACCUUUGAUUUGCUACAGAAGCAAAGUGCGACUAGUUGCCGCUAAGUUUUCUAGCCAUGAUAUCACAAUGUGAUUACUUUGUUUUCAAAGAUCGGUAAUGAUGGGUUUGUUUUUACAUAUCGUUUUUUUUUUUGUCUGAGUCAUUACAACUUCAUUAUUUCUGUCCAGUCUCCUCUGUUAUCUCUGCUUUGUUCUCUCCUCAGAUCUCACAAAGUAGAGAUGAAUAAUAAUAAUGAAUUCCACUUUGGAUAGACUGAAAAGUAGAUAAGUCUGUUAUCUGAAGCUAUUGAUGCAUUUAAGUUCACUGAGCAGUGUCUAAAGAAAAUAACCAGUCAGUUGAAUAUGUAUAGUUGCUUUCAGACAUGCACUGAAGUCUGGACAUUUUCCUGAACUCUUCUGGAGGGGCUGUAUGAGAGAACUCAAAUGUCUCCAUAAGUUGCUCUGGACCUUUUACAGAACUUUAACCCGCCUGCCCUAAUGCAAAAUGUCAGAAUAAGCCUAUAUGAGAAUACAGCAGGGAAAUAACUGGAAAAUUCACAGCAAGCAAGUAUAUUGAUGAAAGAAUGCAAAUAUGUCAAUAUGAAAAACAGGAGCCAUACACACAGAAGACACAGACUAAGAGAUUCAGAAGAUUGUGGUGAUGUGAGGGCCGACACAAGUUCCUGUUCUUUCCACAGUAGGAUUUAUAUAUUUUUUCAUAUGUAAAACACAAACUCCAGGAAAUGUCCCGACCCAAGUUUCUGGACAUUCUCCAGAGUUCGUGUCUGACAAAAGCUUAUGUCCGGCAGGUGGUAGGCAGAUCGAGGCUUUGAGGAGAAUAUGUCUCGGCUGUUAAACUCUGGGUGUUUUACAGUUUUAACUACAGUAGAAUAAGAGAAGAUAAACAUUCAAUUCCAACACUGGGAAAUGAAUAAAUCCGUUGUGGUUCUUUUUCUUAUGCUGUCUAAUGUGUUUAGGAACUGCAGCUUGUGUGUCUGUGUGUUUGCAUUUACAUUUUUACCAACCAUGUUUCCAGGAUGUGUCAUUCAGGAUUCCCCUUGCUUUUCACACUCUGUUAAAAAAAUGUGAUCAGAGGAUUUAAUCAGAUGUAUUGAUCAAUUGCUAACUCUCUGUGCUGCAUCUGCUAUCGGACAGACCUCUGCCAUGGCUUCUUCUAAAGGGAAUAUGAGUGGAUAAUAAGCCAGAACUUUGCUUUUGCCCACUUGUUUGUUUUAAUUACAUUUUUCUUUCCUGUUCUGUUAACUGAGUUGUUUUUAAAUGGAAUAAAUUAAAUUAUGUUAAAUGA